UGGGGAAUUUUGGACAAUGGGCGAAAGCCUGAUCCAGCAAUGCCGCGUGUGUGAAGAAGGCCUUCGGGUUGUAAAGCACUUUUGUCCGGAAAGAAAUCCUUGGCUCUAAUACAGUCGGGGGAUGACGGUACCGGAAGAAUAAGCACCGGCUAACUACGUGCCAGCAGCCGCGGUAAUACGUAGGGUGCAAGCGUUAAUCGGAAUUACUGGGCGUAAAGCGUGCGCAGGCGGUUUGCUAAGACCGAUGUGAAAUCCCCGGGCUCAACCUGGGAACUGCAUUGGUGACUGGCAGGCUAGAGUAUGGCAGAGGGGGGUAGAAUUCCACGUGUAGCAGUGAAAUGCGUAGAGAUGUGGAGGAAUACCGAUGGCGAAGGCAGCCCCCUGGGCCAAUACUGACGCUCAUGCACGAAAGCGUGGGGGAGCAAAACAGGAUUAGAUACCCUGGUAGUCCACGCCCUAAAACGAUGUCAACUAGUUGUUGGGGAUUCAUUUCCUUAGUAACGUAGCUAACGCGUGAAGUUGACCGCCUGGGGAGUACGGUCGCAAGAUUAAAACUCAAAUGAAUUGACGGGGUCAUAGCUG
rnacentral:rRNA from 1 species